GAAACUAACUAGGAUUCCCCUAGUAACGGCGAGUGAAGCGGGAAAAGCUCAAAUUUUAAAUCAGACUGACUACGUCGGUCCGAGUUGUAAUUUGAAGAAAUGUUAUCAAGUCACUUGAUCGAAUCUAAGUUCCUUGGAAUAGGACAUCAAAGAGGGUGAGAAUCCCGUCUGGAUUCGAACAAGUGGCGUUACGUUAACUUUUCUAAGAGUCGAGUUGUUUGGGAUUGCAGCUCAAAAUGGGUGGUAAAUUCCAUCUAAGGCUAAAUAUAGACGAGAGACCGAUAGCGAACAAGUACCGUGAGGGAAAGAUGAAAAGAACUUUGAAAAGAGAGUUAAAUAGUACGUGAAAUUGUUGAAAGGGAAACGAUUAAAGUCAGUAGUGCCGGCGGGAAAUCAGCUUACAGGUUACUGUGAGUGCACUUUUUCGCAAGGCAGGUUAGCAUCGGUUUUGGUCGUGUUAAAAUGAGAGCAGGAAGGUGGCUCCCUCGGGAGUGUUAUAGCCUGUUCUAGAUGACAUGGACAAGACCGAGGAUUGCAGCGAAUGCCUUUAGGUUACUGAUCUGGUCUCUGUGAAUGACUCGUCAGCCUUGAGCUUGCUCGAGUCUGGUUGGUUUAUUUACAAUAGGUUCAGAAUCGGAUAAAUUCGCUAAGGAUGCUGACGUAAUGGCUUUAAACGAC
rnacentral:rRNA from 1 species